rnacentral:lncRNA from 1 species
CUCUAUAAGUCGUUGUCAAAGGAAUGGAUACAUGGAUGGAUGCAUGUAUGCAUGAUUGAAUAGAUACAUGGAUGGAUAGGUGCAUGGAUGGAUAGGUGCAUGGAUGGUUGGAUAGAUGCAUGGAUGGAUAGGUGCAUGGAUGGAUGGAUAGAUGCAUGGAUGGAUAGAUAGCUAUAGAUUUAACUGUGUCACUCGUACUUUAGCACUCCUCAGUAUUGCCAAUAACUAUCAAAAUUCAGUGUGCACAAUUCGUUUUAAAGUAAAUUACACAAUAGUAAUACUGACACAUGUACAAAGAUACAUGUGCAAGAUGGCCCCUGCACUGUUGUGUAUUAUACAAAAAUAUUGGAGCAGCCUGAUGUCUGGCAGUAGGAAGAGGGAGGCCUUGAGGGCAAGGACUGUGUUUUGUUCGCUGCUCAAUCCUUAGCACCUGGACUGUGCCUGGUACAUAAUAGAGGUCAAUAAAUGUUUGUCGCAUGAAGGAAAGCGUCAUCACUGAGAUGCCAUGCAGCUGUUGAGAAGGAUGCUGGAGAUGUGUGUGUGCUAAGGUGAGAGAUGUCCACCCUAUCGUGGCAAAGCAAGUCAUAGAACAGUGUGUAAGGGAAGAGCUGACUUUUGUGAAAAAAAAAAUAGAUGUUUUUAUAUAUACAUAGGAUCUUGAGGGGCCGGCCCCGUGGCGCAGCGGUUGGGUUCCCACAUUCUGCUUCUCGGCUGCAUGGGGUUUGCCGGUUUGGCUCCCAGGUGUGGACAUGGCACCACUUGGCACACCAUACUGUGGUAGGCGUCCCACGUAUAAAGUAGAGGAAGAUGGGCACGGAUGUGAGCUCAGGGCCAGUCUUCCUCAGCAAAAAGAGGAGGAUUGGCAGCAGAUGUUAGCUCAAGGCUAAUCUUCCUCAAAAAAAAAAACAAAAGAAGAAGAAGAAGAAUCUUGAGGGAUACACCCUAAACUGUUACCAGGGGGUUCCAUCUGAGGAGAAGGUUUGGAGG